GGGGGUAUAGCUCAGUUGGUAGAGCAGCUGACUCUUAAUCAGUAGGUCCUGGGUUCGAGUCCCUGUGCCCCCA
rnacentral:tRNA from 1 species